ACGCACGCUGGCGGCGUGCUUAACCCCUGCCAGUCGAACGGAAAGGCCCUGCUUUUGUGGGGUGCUCGAGUGGCGAACGGGUGAGUAACACGUGAGUAACCUGCCCUUGACUUUGGGAUAACUUCAGGAAACUGGGGCUAAUACCGGAUAGGAGCUCCUGCUGCAUGGUGGGGGUUGGAAAGUUUCGGCGGUUGGGGAUGGACUCGCGGCUUAUCAGCUUGUUGGUGGGGUAGUGGCUUACCAAGGCUUUGACGGGUAGCCGGCCUGAGAGGGUGACCGGCCACAUUGGGACUGAGGUACGGCCCAGACUCCUACGGGAGGCAGCAGUGGGGAAUAUUGCACAAUGGGCGGAAGCCUGAUGCAGCAACGCCGCGUGCGGGAUGACGGCCUUCGGGUUGUAAACCGCUUUCGCCUGUGACGAAGCGUGAGUGACGGUAAUGGGUAAAGAAGCACCGGCUAACUACGUG
rnacentral:rRNA from 1 species